CAACAUUUUAGUGUCCCCAAUAAUUUCACUUUCUAUUCUCAAUGCUCCUUUCCUAUUCUCAAUGCAAACCCUUCACUUCUAUUUUCUCUUCUCCCAAUUUCUAAUCAACAACUAUUAUUUUCUUCUAUUCCAUGCCAAUUGUUUGGUGCGCUCAUUGGUCACAUUAAAAAAAACUUUUUCCUCCUCCCAAACAAUCCUUUCAAAACAUCUCUGCAUUUUCUCUCUCUCCAUUGUUAACCUCUCUCAAAAAUCUUCUGUCUAUUUUCUCCUUCAAACCCUAAUAUCUCCACUCAACCUACGACCAUCAUCACCCAAUGGACAAAUAUUCAUAGUUCUCAUAUCAUGGCUUUCCGAAUGAACCAGUUAGAUUUUUGUUUCAAACAACUUUGGCGUCGAUUUUCGGUUUUAGCGACUAUUGAUUAAUGCGGUUUUGAUUUUGUAUAUAGUUUUUUUUCAUUGUUAAAUUGUUAAAUUCAUAUCAAUUUCGUAAUUGAUACUGAUUCAUAUGUUGUUCUGAUUAAUACGAACUGACUUUUUAAAAUUGAAUUUUGGAUUAUUGAACAUUACUGUAUUGGAAUAUUUGGGAAAGUUUUAGGAGUGUUGAUUUGAUUGAUGGAUAUUUUGUUGUUUUUACUGUGAGUGUUGUUUUGAUUCUUAACUUUGAUUGUUUGUAAUGUAGGCUUUGGAUAAGAUCCGGUUUGAGGGCUUGACUGACAAGAGCACUUGAAACUCAGCCAGAGUUGUUCGCUGGCGGCGAUGAUACCAUGUAUGAAUUGGAGUGGUCGGAUUCCAAAUUAUUGAUAUUUUUUAUCGAGUCAAAUGACAAUGGGGAUAAGUUCAAUGUAGUAAAGCAGAAGAGGUACAAUUUUAUAUUUAUUUUAAUUUGUCAUUAUUUGUCUUAUUUAUAAUAUUAGUUCAUAGCUUAUAGUUUGGGCAUAUAUGGUGUGGUGUUCGAUUUCGUAGCUUCUUGAAUGCACUCCAGUUUCUAUUAUGGUGUGACUGGCUGCUUGGCAAGGGCGCACCAUAAAGUUGUGAUGCAACACAUUUUAAAUGGUAUCCUGUGGCAGCUCUGGCACAAUAGUAGAUUAUAACUUGCUUUAAGCUCCCUUGCUAUUGUGGCGUGAAUGGCUGUUAGGCAAGUCCACCCCAUAAAAUUGUGAUGCAACACACUAAAUAGUGGCUUGUGGCAGCUCUGGCACAAUAGUAGUUUAUACCUUGGUUUUCAGAGUAUUGUAAUAUCUCUGAAAGACAGUUUCUAUGACAAAGCUGAAGCGUUAGUUGGGGUUUUCAGGGACUCUGGAAGAGCGUAAAUUUCUUUUCUUCACAUCAUUAAAUUAUUAGUAUUUCCUCCUCCCCCCCCCCCCCCUUUCUAUUCAAUAUGUUAAUGGCAUAAAUCUAAUCUAUUUUCGUUGUGUUUAAAUGAUAUACAUUCUACACUAUUUUUUUUUGCAGUUGUUCGAGUACUCUCACAUUUAGUGGCACAAAUCUAAUCUAUUUUCGUUGUGUUUAAAUCUAUGGCGUUUUCGGUGAUUUUUUGAUUUGUUGGUUUUUUACACUUAAUCUUUAUGAUUUUUUACACUGAAUCUUUAAACUGCAAAGUAUUGAUUUAUAACAAUUCAUGUUUUAACUUCUAUUCUGGUUGUAUUAACUUUAUGGUAGUGAUUUAAGCACUAAAGUAUUAUUUUUAAUACAAAAGUAUUGUGGUGCUCUUGAUAGUUAGCACUAUUAUUAUGUACAAAGUAGAUUUAGAGAUACAUUUUUAAAACAGGAUAAUCUUAUAUAGGGUUAGCUUGGAAAUGAGAAUGAUACUUAUUUAACUGGAUGAAGUUUAGCAAUUCCAAAUGAUCUUUAAAAGUGUUAAUUGGUGCUUUUUGAUUUCAUAAUAGCUUAAUACUACUCAUAUUGCAUGAAGGUUUCUGGCUGAAGUUACAAAGUAAGUUUUGUUAGAUCUUGAAGCGAGUAAAUAUCAGGUUAAUGAAAGAAAGAGUUGCGAUGACCACUUUAAUUAUGAAACACAUCUAUCUGUUAAUAUUCGAGAGGAAGAAUAAGGAUCUGGCAUCAGAAUAUGAAACUAAACUGUUUUAUCGGCAAUUUGUCACUGUCAUACUCCGACUGAAAUGGUGGUGAUGCAGGCAUAGUAAAUCGACGAACUGACGACUCAGGAAGUUUAAUAGUGUUAAUCAUUAAAUUGAUGUCAAAUAUUUAUGUCAAAAUAUGAUUUCUUUAAUAAUUAGGAACUUUUUUUCUUUACAUGAUGAUACCAGGUGGAUUGAGCGGUUCGAAACAUCCUUGGAUAAAGCAGCAGAUGCAUUUUGAUACAAGAGCAAUGUAUUUUCAAUCAAAAACUAUUGCAUAGACAUGCUUUAACUCUUAGAAACUCUUAUUUUAUGAAAGAUAUUAAAUAAUUUAUGUUUUGAUUAUUUUCUA